CUGAUGGAUCAUCAUGGUUCCUUCGAAGGCUUUCAUGAAGAGCAAAGUAUAAGAUUCAAAGUGAUCUUUUUACUUUUGGUUUUGUUAAUUGAUUGAGUGAGAGUGGGACGUAAGACUCAGAGAGAGCCUUGAUACUUCGGACACGGCUAUGAUACAGGGACUCAAAGUCCCUGUAUCAUAGAGGGGGUCAAUUUAUUGACCCCUUUGUUGUUUGGCUGCCAUCUGGCAGCCAAACAACUUUUUUGACUGGCAGCAACCGGUUUUACAGCCGGUUGCUGCCAUUAAUAUGUUUUUUUUAUUUAAAUAAAUUAAAAUAAAAAAUAUUUAAAACGAAUAAUAUUUAAAAAAUAAUAAUAAUAAGAAGUAAAAAAUGACAAGUAAAGUAAAAAUGAAAAAAAAUAUUUUUUAUUUUAAAUAUUUUAAAAAAUAAAAUAAAAUGUGUGUUAACAAAAAGAUAAAAAUUUUAUUCAUUUUCUAUGAAAUUUAUCUCAUGUUUAACAUUUUAAGUUUCAUAUUUUAUGUUUUAUGUUUCAUGUACUGAUUUUUCAAAUACCAAAAAAAAAAUUUUUUUGCACCCGUUUCAUGUUUACGUUCUAUGUUUCAUGUUUGAUGUUCUGUGUUUCAUGUUUUAUGUUUCAUGUUCACUGUUACGGAGGGACUCGUAUUUUAUGUUUGUUGUUGCAUAUUUUAAGUGAUAUGUUUCAUGUUGGUUGUGCAAUGUUUCAUGUACUGAUUUUUCAAAUACCCCAAAAAAAAUUUUUUUGCACCCGUUUCAUGUUUACGUUCUAUGUUUCAUGUUUGAUGUUCUAUAUUUCAUGUUUUAUGUUUCAUGUUCACUGUUACGGAGGGACUCAUAUAUUUAUGUUUGUUGUUGCAUAUUUUAAGUGAUAUGUUUCAUGUUGGUUGUGCAAUGUUUCAUGUACUGAUUUUUCAAAUACCCCGGAAUUUUUUUUUUUGCACCCGUUUCAUGUUUACAUUCUAUGUUUUAUGUUUGAUGUUCUAUGUUCUAUGUUCCAUGUUUUAUGUUUCAUGUUCACUGUUACGGAGGGACUCAUAUUUUAUGUUCGUUGUUGCAUAUUUUAAGUGAUAUGUUUCAUGUUGGUUGUGCAAUGUUUCAUGUACUGAUUUUUCAAAUACCCCGAAAUUUUUCUUUUUUGCCCCCGUUUCAUGUUUACGUUCUCUGUUUCAUGUUUGUUGUUCUACGUUUCAUGUUUUAUGUUUCAUGUUCUAUGUUACGGAGGUACUCAUAUUUUAUGUUUGUUAUUGCAUAUUUUAAGUGAUAUGUUGCAUGUUAGUGUGUGUAAUGUUUCAUGUACUAAUUUUUUAAAUACCCCGAAAUUUUUCUUUUUUGCCCCCGUUUCAUGUUUACGUUCCACGUUUCAUGUUUGCUGUUCUACAUUUCAUGUUUGACGUUGUAUGUUCACUGUUAUGGAGGUACUCAUAUUUUAUGUUCGCUGUUGCAUAUUUUAAGUAAAAUGUUUCAUGUUUGUUGUUUAAUGUUUGUUGGAAUGAUGAAUGUUGCAUCUUGAUUUAUGUUUUACUACAUGGCUUGAUAUGUUUGUUAUUAUAUGAAUUUAUGCUUCAUGAAUUAGAUAGCUUGAUAUACUUAUAAUUUUAUGAUUUUAUAUUUCAUGCAUUAAGGGCGCGUUUAGUGCAUGGGAUUGUGUGGUAUUAUACCACUAUUCACAUUAAUUUAUUACCAAGAAGUUGUUUGGUAAAAUUUGAGACCUCAUUAUACUACAUUAUAAUACAGCAUAAUGAGGCAUGGGGUCGCAUUACGCAAACCCAAGGGAACCUCGGGUUUGCGUAAUGCGGAAGCUUUUUGCCUCAAUUGAGGCAAAUUUAUUUUAUAAAAAUAUUAUAAAAAUAAAUUAUUUUAUUAUUAAAUACUAAUAUAAUGAAUAAAAUAUAAAAAUAAAUUAUAUGAUAAUAUUAUUUUAUUUAUUAAUGAUUCAUAUAAAAAUAAUAUAUUAAUAUUAUAAUAUUAUUUACAUUAAUAUUAAUUUUAAAAUUAAUAUUAUUUAAAUUUAUGCAAAUUUAAAUAUUUAUAAUUAUUUAUAUUAAAUUAAAAAUUUAUUAAUAUAUUAAAAUGUAAAAAUAAUAAUAUAUUGUAAAUUAAAAUAUAAUUUAAUAUUAUUGAAUAAUAAUUUAUUAAUUUAUAUUAACAAUUAUAAUAUUAAUUAUAAUCUAUAUUUAUUAUUUACAUAUAAUAUUAAAUUUUAUAAAUUUAUUUUAUCAUAAUUAUAAUACAAAUUUUAUAAAUUUAAUCAUUAAUUUUUAAUAUUUACUAAAAAAAUUGUUAAAUAGUUGCUUUGUUUGGAGGACUUGCUGGAACAUAACCGGAUUUCUGGUUCAAGUAAAACCGGCAAGCCGUUUACGGCUUGUAAGCUUCUGGUCACAAUCGGCUUGCCGGAUUCGGGACCUAUUUCUACUAUUCAUCUUCUUCCUCUCAUUCGGCAUUCCGGAUCUCCCUCUCUCUCUAAAAACCGUUUACUCCUCACUCAAUCUCACUCCAAAAUCCAUCAUUUUCUUCCUUUUUGGCAUCAAAUUGAGUCUCAAAAAUCAUUCCCCAUCACUUCAUUUACUCAAAAUCAUCUGUAAAAUCUAUUUUUAACAUCCAAAACUCUAGAUCUCAAAUUCAUCCUAGGGUUUAACCGAACUUUUCUCUCUCCAUUUUUAGCGGGAGCGGGAGCGGGAGCGGGAACAUGAGCGUGAGCAGGAGCGCGAGAGUGAGCAAGAGCGAGAGCGAGGAAGAAUGUGGGGAUGGAGAGGGAAAAAGAUGAGGAUUUUCUGGUUCAAUGUUCCCCGGGGGGGGAGGGGGAAGAACAAGGGGUGGGGGAGAAAGAGAGGGAGAUGAAAAUGCUUUUCUUCCGGUUGCCCUUCUUUUUUUGCUUUUAUUCACGUUUUUUUUUUUUCUUUCAAAUUAAAACCCCAACCGUUGGAUUCAAAUAAACUGAAUCCAAUGGCUCAAUGGCAGCCCCUGCACCAUACAGGGGAUUUUAGGCCCUGCAUAGUGUCCACUUACUUCGAAGGAAAGUGAAGUGUGAGACUUUUCGGUUAUCGUUUGGACUUUGGAGUGAUUCGUGAUUCGAGAGCGGCAUUCGCAGCGGGGACUGCCUCCUUUUCUGUCUGCCACGUGAACGGACACACUCAGUUUAAGUCUUGACUUUACACGUGUCAGUUUCUGGAAGAUAUAUUUCAUUCAAUCGCUGGAUUGUGUAAUAAUGUUUCUC
rnacentral:lncRNA from 1 species